rnacentral:lncRNA from 1 species
ACAACUGAAAUAUUCUACCUCAUAGCAUGCGUCAGGGGCACAUCCAGGGAAAUCAACAGCAUGAAUUUACCUUUCUAGCAGGUCUACUAAGAAUAAGCCAGCCAGAAUAACUAUAGACCUCUACUUGAGAACAAGGUGUUCCCGAGGUCAAGUAAAAUAUCUAGCUUGCCUAAAUCCAUUUGUCUGUUGGAAACAGUUGAUCUGAAGUUGUUGGGUUUAUGUUUCUUGAGUUUAAGGAGGUUCAGAUUAGGAAAGAGAGAAGAGGGGGCGCACCACGGGAUGCAAUACAAAUGGAAGAAACCCUGCAUGCUGUUCCUCCACCAGCACUAUAGUUUUUCCCAGUCUAUUUGGAUCGAAAGAGGCCAGUCAUCUCUGGGAUCUCUGGGAUUUUCUGCAGUGCAUCAUAAGGAACAGCCUUAGACCAGAAGCAGGGAGAUAGUAACACAACUGUGAAAAUAGAAAACAAACCAGGCACAGGCAAGCAAGGAUCUGGAUUUGUCAAUGAAGCUACUGAGAGGAGCCUGUUCAACCAGCCUGUGAUAUGCUUGCCCUGCUCUAGGAAAGAUUGCAUGAAUAAAAAGUAUAAGGUUUCUACCCCUGGACUCUGGAAUUCAAGCUUUUUGGGUAGAAAAUUUGCUAAGACAGCACUGAGGAAACCCUCUGCUCCAGUCAGAUGCCAGAGAAAGACAGUGGUCUGUAACUUCUCAUGGAGUUCACUUCUGGAAACUGUCUGAAAUGGGGAAAGAGGCAGGUGGAGGCUUCUCCCAUAUGUAUAUGCAAUGCCUGCAGGGUAGGGCAUGAAGGAAAACAGAGAGGAAAAACUAGAAACGUCGAGGAUAAGAGAAUAACAGAAAGCCACAGUGUCCGCAAAGCAAAAUAAAAUUAAACCACCCACCCUGCACUUCAGUGGGGGGCACCCUGAACCUCACACCCCAUACUUCAUGUUGAACCUGAGGUGAGUUCAUCCGAGCAGAUUGUGGAGAGCUGUUCCUCAAACCUGCAGUGAAACUGGUCCUGGGAGGAAAGGCCAAUUCAGUUCACUUACGUUGCAAUGUUUUACACUAUUUCAAAGUAACCAGAAGAAAGAUUUAGAGUGUUCUGUUCACAAAACACGGCAUAUGGUGGAAGUGAUGUUACAAGUUAAACACCACAAGUUGAUAUCACAUGGAGGCCUGCCUGUGUCCAA